GAUGAACGCUGGCGGCGUGCCUAAUACAUGCAAGUCGAGCGAACAGACGAGGAGCUUGCUCCUCUGACGUUAGCGGCGGACGGGUGAGUAACACGUGCAUAACCUACCUAUAAGACUGGGAUAACUUCGGGAAACCGGAGCUAACACCGGAUAAUAUAUUGAACCGCAUGGUUCAAUAGUGAAAGACGGUUUUGCUGUCACUUAUAGAUGGAUCCGCGCCGCAUUAGCUAGUUGGUAAGGUAACGGCUUACCAAGGCGACGAUGCGUAGCCGACCUGAGAGGGUGAUCGGCCACACUGGAACUGAGACACGGUCCAGACUCCUACGGGAGGCAGCAGUAGGGAAUCUUCCGCAAUGGGCGAAAGCCUGACGGAGCAACGCCGCGUGAGUGAUGAAGGUCUUCGGAUCGUAAAACUCUGUUAUUAGGGAAGAACAAAUGUGUAAGUAACUAUGCACGUCUUGACGGUACCUAAUCAGAAAGCCACGGCUAACUACGUG
rnacentral:rRNA from 1 species